rnacentral:rRNA from 1 species
GACGAACGCUGGCGGCGUGCCUAAUACAUGCAAGUAGAACGCUGAAGGAGGAGCUUGCUUCUCCGGAUGAGUUGCGAACGGGUGAGUAACGCGUAGGUAACCUGCCUGGUAGCGGGGGAUAACUAUUGGAAACGAUAGCUAAUACCGCAUAACAGUAGAUAUUGCAUGAUAUCUGCUUGAAAGGUGCAAUUGCAUCACUACCAGAUGGACCUGCGUUGUAUUAGCUAGUUGGUGAGGUAACGGCUCACCAAGGCGACGAUACAUAGCCGACCUGAGAGGGUGAUCGGCCACACUGGGACUGAGGCACGGCCCAGACUCCUACGGGAGGCAGCAGUAGGGAAUCUUCGGCAAUGGACGGAAGUCUGACCGAGCAACGCCGCGUGAGUGAAGAAGGUUGUCGGAUCGUAAAGCUCGGUUGUAAGAGAAGAACGAGUGUGAGAGUGGAAAGUUCACACUGUGACGGUAUCUUACCAGAAAGGGACGGCUAACUACGUG